rnacentral:rRNA from 1 species
UACAGAGACUGCAAGCGUUAUUCGGAUUCACUGGGCGUAAAGGGUGCGCAGGCGGCCAAGUGUGUGAGGCGUGAAAGCCCGGGGCUUAACCCCGGAAUUGCACCUCAAACUACAUGGCUAGAGCAUUGGAGAGGGUAGCAGAAUUCAUGGUGUAGCAGUGAAAUGCGUAGAUAUCAUGAGGAAUACCAGAGGCGAAGGCGGCUACCUGGACAAUUGCUGACGCUCAGGCACGAAAGCGUGGGGAGCAAAAGGGAUUAGAAACCCCGGUAGUCC